CCGCACAAGCGGUGAGCAUGUGGUUAAUUCGACGCAACGCGAGAACCUUACCUGGGCUUGACAUCCCGAUCGCACCUUAUGGAAACAUAGGGGUCAGUUCGGCUGGAUCGGUGACAGGUGCUGCAUGGCUGUCGUCAGCUCGUGUCGUGAGAUGUUGGGUUAAGUCCCGCAACGAGCGCAACCCUUGUCCUUAGUUGCCAGCAUUCAGUUGGGCACUCUAAGGAGACUGCCGGUGUCAAACCGGAGGAAGGUGGGGAUGACGUCAAGUCCUCAUGGCCCUUAUGUCCAGGGCUACACACGUGCUACAAUGGCCGGUACAAAGGGGCGCAAGACCGCGAGGUGGAGCAAAUCCCAAAAAACCGGUCUCAGUUCGGAUUGGAGUCUGCAACUCGACUCCAUGAAGUUGGAAUCGCUAGUAAUCGCGUAUCAGCAUGACGCGGUGAAUACGUUCCCGGGCCUU
rnacentral:rRNA from 1 species